GAGGUAAAAAUUAAAAAUAAAAUAAAAUAAUAAAAAAUUUUUAAUAUAAAAAGGGGUUAGAGUAUUUUUAUAGAAAAAAUUUUAAAUUUUAUAGUAAAAUAGUAUUGAGAAAGAAUUUUGAAAUAAUUGAAAAUUAAUUAAUAGGAAAGUAAAUUUAGUUUAUUGUAUCUUGUGUAUCAGAGUUUAUUAAAUAAAUUUAUUAGUAAAAAUAAAUCUCGAAUUUAAAAGAGAUAAUUAAUUAAAAAAGUUAAUGUUGUAUAAUUAUUUUUAAUAAUUAAUUUGAAAUGAAAUGUUAAUCGUUUUUAAAUAUAUCUAGUUUUUUUAGAAAUAAAUUUAAUUUAUAAUUUAAUUUAAAUAAAAAUUUUUUAAAAAAUAUUUAUUAAAUUAAAUUAAAUAUUUUAAGGGAUAAGCUUUAAAUUAAAAAUUUAUAUAAUAAGAAAAAAUAUUAAAAUUUUUAAAAUUUAAAUUGUUUAAAAAUUUUAAUUUUUAUAAAAAAUUUUAAUAAAAAUAAAAUUUAUAAAAAAAUUAAUAUUAUAUAAAAAUAAAAUUUUUAAUAAAAUAAAAUUUGAAAUAAUGAUAAAAUUAGUAUAAAAUAAAUAUAAUUUUAUAAUAAAGGUUAUAAUUAAAUAAAAGGAAUUCGGCAAAAAUUUAUAUUCACUUGUUUAUCAAAAACAUGUCUUUUUGAGAAUAAUUUAAAGUCUAAUCUGCCCACUGAUGAAAAUUAAAGGGCUGCAGUAUAUUGACUGUACAAAGGUAGCAUAAUCAUUAGUCUUUUAAUUGAAGACUUGUAUGAAAGAUUUAAUGAAAUAUAAACUGUCUCUUAUUUAAAAAUAGAAUUUAAUUAUUUAGUUAAAAAGCUAAAAUAAAUUUAAAAGACGAGAAGACCCUAUAGAGUUUUAUAAUUAAAUUAUUUAAGAUUUUUUAUAUAAUUUAUAAUUAAAAAUAGUUUAAUUAUUAUAUUGGGGUGAUAAAAAAAUUAAAAUAACUUUUUUUUUAUAAUAACAUAAAUAAGUGAAAAAUUGAUCCAUUAAUAAUGAUUAAAAGAAAAAAUUACCUUAGGGAUAACAGCGUAAUUUUUUUUUUUAGUACAAAUAAAAAAAAGAGAUUGCGACCUCGAUGUUGGAUUAAGAUAAAAUUUAGAUGCAAAAGUUUAAAAUUUUGAUCUGUUCGAUCAUUAAAAUCUUACAUGAUCUGAGCUCAAACCGGUGUAAGCCAGGUUGGUUUCUAUCUUUAGAAAAUUAAAAUAUUUUAGUACGAAAGGAUCAAAUAUUUAAAAUAAUUUUAAUUAAAGAAUUUUAUUAAUAGUAAUU
rnacentral:rRNA from 1 species